GCCUGGGUGGCUCAGAGGUUGAGCGUCUGUCUUUGGCUCAGGGUGUGAUCCUGGGGUUCCAGGAUCGAGUUCUGAUUCAGGCU
rnacentral:tRNA from 1 species